rnacentral:misc_RNA from 1 species
UGGGGGUGGCCGCCGGCGGUGC